AUCAUGCCUUGGUAGUUUUUAUGGGCCAGACUGGGAACAGGCAUAAAUCACUUCCAUUCACAUUCUCUUGUGCGGAAUUCAGUCCACAUGGCCACAUCUAACUUCAAGGAAUGCUUUGCGCCCAUGAAAAAGAGGAGGUUGUAUAUUUGCCUAUGAAGAAAUUCUUUGCUGCCAAUUUUGCUGAAAUGGAGAGAAGCACAGGUAAAGAAGAGACACGAUUUCUUCAGGUUGACUUCAGAAUGACCCAGUAAUGUAGGAUAACAGAAGUUUUACCUAAAUUUGAUGCCCCAAAACCUGAAUUUUGAAGAGAAAUCUCUUGUGGUAAGUGUGGAGUACUGUUUAGAAACUUUGGAAGAAGAAAAAUGUUCAUCUAGGAGAUAAAACUUUAUGUUCAGUUGGGGAAUUGUGUAAACAGUAUAGUUGAG
rnacentral:lncRNA from 1 species